AGGAACACGUGAGAAACCUGCCUUUCAUUCUGGGAUAACACCGGGAAACCGGUGCUAAUACCGGAUGUCCUCGCCGAAGCUCAUGCUUUGGUGAGGAAAUGGAUUCCGCUUCGGGAUGGCCUCGCGGCCUAUCAGCUUGUUGGUGAGGUAAUGGCUCACCAAGGCGACGACGGGUAGCCGGCCUGAGAGGGCGACCGGCCACACUGGGACUGAGACACGGCCCAGACUCC
rnacentral:rRNA from 1 species